AUUCUCUGAAACAAACUUGUCAUACAUCUGAGGAUAAACUUGUAUUCCUGAUUCUCCUGACUCUGCCUCCUAAGGGCUAAAAUUACAACCAUUCACCACCAUGCCCAGUUUAUGUGGCACUGAGGAUCAAACCCAAGGCCUCAUGCAUGCCGGGCAAGCAGAUGGACACUUAGGACACUUCACUGCGUUUGUGACAUCAGGCCCUCAACGUAGGGCUCCAGUCACUGAACCUGAGCUGGAAUCAUUUCAAUGUUCGUGGAGCUGUGGCCCUGUGUAAUGGUCUCCGGACUAAUGUGACCCUGAAGAAACUGGACGUAUCCAUGGAAUGG
rnacentral:sRNA from 1 species